UACGAAGGGGGCUAGCGUUGCUCGGAAUUACUGGGCGUAAAGCGUGCGCAGGCGGUUCGCUGUGUCCUGUGUGAAAGCCCCGGGCUUAACCUGGGAAUGGCAUGGGAAACUGGCGAGCUUGAGUGCGGCAGAGGGGGGUGGAAUUCCGCGUGUAGCAGUGAAAUGCGUAGAGAUGCGGAGGAACACCGAUGGCGAAGGCAGCCCCCUGGGUCGACACUGACGCUCAGGCACGAAAGCGUGGGGAGCAAACAGG
rnacentral:rRNA from 1 species